rnacentral:rRNA from 1 species
GACGAACGCUGGCGGCGUGCUUAACACAUGCAAGUCGAACGGAAAGGCCCUGCUUUUGUGGGGUGCUCGAGUGGCGAACGGGUGAGUAACACGUGAGUAACCUGCCCUUGACUUUGGGAUAACUUCAGGAAACUGGGGCUAAUACCGGAUAGGAGCUCCUGCUGCAUGGUGGGGGUUGGAAAGUUUAGGCGGUUGGGGAUGGAUUCGCGGCUUAUCAGCUUGUUGGUGGGGUAGUGGCUUACCAAGGCUUUGACGGGUAGCCGGCCUGAGAGGGUGACCGGCCACAUUGGGACUGCGAUACGGCCCAGACUCCAACGGUAGGCAGCAGUGGGAAAUCUUGCACAAUGGUCGGAAGCCUGAUGCAGAAACGCUGCGGUCGGGAUGACGGCCUGCGGGUUGUAAACCGCUUUCGCCUGUGACGCAGCGUGAGUGACGGUAAUGGGUAAAGAAGCACCGGCUAACUACGUG